UACGUAGGUGGCAAGCGUUAUCCGGAUUUACCGGGUGUAAAGGGCGUGCAGCCGGAGAGACAAGUCAGAUGUGAAAUCCACGGGCUCAACCCGUGAACUGCAUUUGAAACUGUUUCCCUUGAGUGUCGGAGAGGUAAUCGGAAUUCCUUGUGUAGCGGUGAAAUGCGUAGAUAUAAGGAAGAACACCAGUGGCGAAGGCGGAUUACUGGACGAUAACUGACGGUGAGGCGCGAAAGCGUGGGGAGCAAACAGG
rnacentral:rRNA from 1 species